AGAGUUUGAUCCUGGCUCAGAUUGAACGCUGGCGGCAUGCCUUACACAUGCAAGUCGAACGGCAGCACGAGAGCUUGCUCUUGGUGGCGAGUGGCGAACGGGUGAGUAAUAUAUCGGAACGUACCCUAGAGUGGGGGAUAACGCAGCGAAAGUUGCGCUAAUACCGCAUACGAUCUACGGAUGAAAGUGGGGGAUCGCAAGACCUCAUGCUCAUGGAGCGGCCGAUAUCUGAUUAGCUAGUUGGUAGGGUAAAAGCCUACCAAGGCUUCGAUCAGUAGCUGGUCUGAGAGGACGACCAGCCACACUGGAACUGAGACACGGUCCAGACUCCUACGGGAGGCAGCAGUGGGGAAUUUUGGACAAUGGGCGCAAGCCUGAUCCAGCAAUGCCGCGUGAGUGAAGAAGGCCUUCGGGUUGUAAAGCUCUUUUGUCAGGGAAGAAACGGUGGACUCUAAUACAGAUCACUAAUGACGGUACCUGAAGAAUAAGCACCGGCUAACUACGUGCCAGCAGCCGCGGUAAUACGUAGGGUGCAAGCGUUAAUCGGAAUUACUGGGCGUAAAGCGUGCGCAGGCGGUUGUGCAAGACAGAUGUGAAAUCCCCGGGCUCAACCUGGGAAUUGCAUUUGUGACUGCACGGCUAGAGUGUGUCAGAGGGGGGUAGAAUUCCACGUGUAGCAGUGAAAUGCGUAGAGAUGUGGAGGAAUACCGAUGGCGAAGGCAGCCCCCUGGGAUAACACUGACGCUCAUGCACGAAAGCGUGGGGAGCAAACAGGAUUAGAUACCCUGGUAGUCCACGCCCUAAACGAUGUCUACUAGUUGUUGGGUCUUAAUUGACUUAGUAACGCAGCUAACGCGUGAAGUAGACCGCCUGGGGAGUACGGUCGCAAGAUUAAAACUCAAAGGAAUUGACGGGGACCCGCACAAGCGGUGGAUGAUGUGGUUUAAUUCGAUGCAACGCGAAAAACCUUACCUACCCUUGACAUGUACGGAAUCCCUGAGAGAUUAGGGAGUGCUCGAAAGAGAACCGUAACACAGGUGCUGCAUGGCUGCCGUCAGCUCGUGUCGUGAGAUGUUGGGUUAAGUCCCGCAACGAGCGCAACCCUUGUCAUUAGUUGCUACGAAAGGGCACUCUAAUGAGACUGCCGGUGACAAACCGGAGGAAGGUGGGGAUGACGUCAAGUCCUCAUGGCCCUUGUGGGUAGGGCUUCACACGUCAUACAAUGGUACAUACAGAGGGCCGCCAACCCGCGAGGGGGAGCUAAUCCCAGAAAGUGUAUCGUAGUCCGGAUUGUAGUCUGCAACUCGACUACAUGAAGUUGGAAUCGCUAGUAAUCGCGGAUCAGCAUGUCGCGGUGAAUACGUUCCCGGGUCUUGUACACACCGCCCGUCACACCAUGGGAGCGGGUUUCACCAGAAGUAGGUAGCCUAACCGUAAGGAGGGCGCUUACCACGGUGGGAUUCGUGACUGGGGUGAAGUCGUAACAAGGUA
rnacentral:rRNA from 1 species